rnacentral:rRNA from 1 species
GACGAACGCUGGCGGCGUGCUUAACACAUGCAAGUCGAACGAUGAAACCUAGCUUGCUAGGUCGAUUAGUGGCGAACGGGUGAGUAACACGUGACUAACCUGCCCCUUUCUCUGGGAUAACGCUCCGAAAGGAGUGCUAAUACCGGAUACUCACACCGAGGCACAUGCCUUGGUGUGGAAAGUUUUUCGGAAAGGGAUGGAGUCGCGGCCUAUCAGCUUGUGGGUGAGGUAACGGCUCACCAAGGCGACGACGGGUAGCCGGCCUGAGAGGGGGACCGGCCACACUGGGACAGAGACACGGCCCAGACUCCUACGGGAGGCAGCAGUGGGGAAUAUUGCACAAUGGGCGCAAGCCAGAUGCAGCGACGCCGCGUGGGGGAUGAAGGUCUUCGGAUUGUAAACCUCUUUCAGUAGGGACGAAGCGAAAGUGACGGUACCUAAAGAAGAAGCACCGGCUAACUACGUGCCAGCCGCCGCCGUAA